rnacentral:rRNA from 1 species
UGCGUAGGCGGACUAAUAAGUCAGUGGUGAAAUCUUUCGGCUCAACCGAGAAACUGCCAUUGAUACUGUUAGUCUUGAGUUCGGUUGAGGUAGGCGGAAUGUGUAAUGUAGCGGUGAAAUGCUUAGAUAUUACACAGAACACCAAUUGCGUAGGCAGCUUACUAGACCGACACUGACGCUAAGGCACGAAAGCGUGGGGAGCGAACAGGAUUAGAUACCCUGGUAGUCC